GAAGAGCACGUCAGCAGACAGAUAAGCCAUCUUACAGCAACAGAAGAGCUUCGAGCAGGUGGAGCACUUGGGCCUGAUGUGCAGAUUAGUCCCGUGAGGUAACAGACGUCCAUGAAAGGGGAUUGAUAGAGGCCGGAGAGCAGGAAGGUACCUGACGACCGGCUCCAGACACACAGCGUGGUUUCCACGGACAUGACCUUCGCCUCAGCAGGGGUCAGAGGACAAGUGUCACGAAAACACACGUGGGCCAACACACUUCCUCGUCCUGGAAACCUCCCCAGUCCACCUUAAAUGAAUACCCGCCUCUCAUCGCCUGAAAACCCCAUCUGUACGGUCUCACACUGCCAUCUACAGACUGAAAUCGUGUAUGGCAGGCGAAGAAUCUCUUAAGGUGGACCGGAGAAGUUACAGACGUUGUUUCCAAGAUGUCAAAAAUGGUCUUGUAGCUGUAGCUCUCAAACUGUAAUGCUUUUCAUUAUUAGUCCGGUUAUGAUAUUUUCAUCAGUUUUACAUCAGAUGUCGUUAAAGAUGGGUCAUGUUGAGAUGUGUACUA